rnacentral:rRNA from 1 species
UACGGAGGGUGCAAGCGUUAUCCGGAUUUACUGGGUUUAAAGGGUGCGUAGGCGGACAGGUAAGUCCGUGGUGAAAUCUCUGAGCUUAACUCAGAAACUGCCAUGGAUACUAUUUGUCUUGAAUACUGUGGAGGUAAGCGGAAUAUGUCAUGUAGCGGUGAAAUGCUUAGAUAUGACAUGGAACACCAAUUGCGAAGGCAGCUUACUACACAGUUAUUGACGCUGAGGCACGAAAGCGUGGGGAGCAAACAGG